GCUGGGCUGCACCGCCAUCUUGGAUGAGCUGCCACUGAGGUUUCUGAAUGGGAAGAGAUCACAGCAACGGGAGAAUCUGGGUUCUCCCAGGACAUGCCUUUCCUCUGAGAGACGCCUAAAGAGUGGUCACCCUAUGUCACCUGAAGGGCUCUAGCUGGUUCCAUUUUCUCACAGCCAGAUGAUGAGAAUGAAAGAAAUCGGAGUCCAGAAGACAACCGCACGGGGUCUUUAAAGUGCUGAGGGGGAAAAUCCUGACAUACUAAAACUCUCUGCCUAAGUAUCUUGCUAAAACGAAAUAAGCAAAAUAAAGGCAUUCUCAGGCAAACACAAAGUGAGGGAACUUUGUCGCCCUGAAGGAAAUGAUUAAGCGAGCUCUUCAAGCAACAGGAAAACGAUGCAGAUGGAGUUAUGGAAAUGCCACAGGUAAUGAAAACCACUAGAAACGGAAGAUCUGAAGGAACAUAUAAAUAAAAGUUGACUGCAAAGACUCUUUCACCACCUCCCCUAGGCAGGAAUCUUGAGAGGGCCCUCUGUCCACCGUCCAUGGCUCUAUUUCGAAUUCUAGGUGGGCAACAGAAUCCGGCUUUGGGUUCCAAGGUCCUGCCAAAUGAGCAAUCAACCUGUGAGGGUUUUGGUUUUUAUAAAUUUUGUUUGUAAGAA